rnacentral:rRNA from 1 species
GGGAAUCUACCUUGAGCUACGGGAUAACAGAGAGAAAUUUCUGCUAAUACCGUAUGUGGCCUUUGGGCGAAAGAUUUAUCGGCUUAAGAUGAGCCCGCGUUGGAUUAGCUGGUUGGUGGGGUAAAGGCCUACCAAGGCGACGAUCCAUAGCUGGUCUGAGAGGAUGAUCAGCCACACUGGGACUGAGACACGGCCCAGACUCCUACGGGAG